AGUGAACGCUGGCGGCGUGCUUAACACAUGCAAGUCGAACGAGAAACGGAUUUAGCUUGCUAAAUUGCAGUCUAAGUGGCGCACGGGUGAGUAAUGUAUAGAUAAUAUGCCUUUUACUAAGGGAUAACAGUUGGAAACGGAUGCUAAUACCUGAUAUGCGUUUAAUACAUAAGUAUGCAAGGCAAAGAUUUAUUGGUAAAAGAUUAGUCUGUAUUGUAUCAGUUAGUUGGUGAGGUAAUGGCUCACCAAGAAUAUGACGCAUAACUGGUGUGAGAGGAUGAUCAGUCACACUGGAACUGAGACACGGUCCAGACUCCUACGGGAGGCAGCAGUGGGGAAUAUUGCACAAUGGGGGAGACCCUGAUGCAGCAACGCCGCGUGGAGGAUGACACAUUUCGGUGCGUAAACUCCUUUUAUAUAGGAAGAUAAUGACGGUACUAUAUGAAUAAGCACCGGCUAACUCCGUGCCAGCAGCCGCCGUAA
rnacentral:rRNA from 1 species